GUAGGGAAUAUUGGACAAUGGGGGCAACCCUGAUCCAGCGACGCCGCGUGAGUGACGAAGGCCUUCGGGUCGUAAAGCUCUGUUGCAAGGGAAAAACAAAAUGAUGGUACCUUGCUAGAAAGGAUCGGCUAACUUCGUGCCAGCAGCCGCGGUAAGACGAGGGAUCCUAGCGUUGUUCGGAAUUAUUGGGCGUAAAGCGGGUGUAGGUGGCUUUGUAAGUCAGGUGUGAAAGCCUGGGGCUUAACCCCAGAAGUGCAUUUGAUACUGCGAAGCUUGAGUGCUGGAGAGGCUAUUAGAAUUCCUGGUGUAGUGGUGAAAUACGUAGAUAUCAGGAGGAAUACCGGAGGCGAAGGCGGAUAGCUGGCCAGACACUGACACUCAGACCCGAAAGCGUGGGGAUCAAACAGGAUUAGAAACCCUGGUAGUCC
rnacentral:rRNA from 1 species